UACGUAGGGCGCAAGCGUUGUCCGGAAUUAUUGGGCGUAAAGAGCUCGUAGGCGGUUUGUCGCGUCUGCUGUGAAAUCCCGAGGCUCAACCUCGGGCUUGCAGUGGGUACGGGCAGACUAGAGUGCGGUAGGGGAGACUGGAAUUCCUGGUGUAGCGGUGAAAUGCGCAGAUAUCAGGAGGAACACCAGCGGCGAAGGCGGCGCUCUGGGCCGGAACUGACGCUGAGGAGCGAAAGCGUGGGUAGCAAACAGG
rnacentral:rRNA from 1 species